AUACUCUGGUUUCUCAUCAACAUAUAAAUCUUUUGCCUUUUACUAAAGAUUUCCGUGGAGAGGGAAAAUUCUGAGUCUUAGUCCAAUUUUUUUGAGGCCUGUUUCUGCUGGGCU
ensembl:snRNA U5 U5 spliceosomal RNA